rnacentral:misc_RNA from 1 species
UUUCCGUAGGUGAACCUGCGGAAGGAUCAUUAUCGUACAAAAUGUGAGGGGCAUGCGAGGGCUGUAGCUGACCCCAAAGUCGUGCACGCCCGAGUGUGUCCUCUUGCAUAAUAAUCCAUCUCACCCUUUGUGCAUCACCGCGUGGGCACCCUUCGGGAUCAUCUCGGAGGGGGGCUCGCGUUUUCACACAAACCCCCCUUUUAAAAGUGUAGAAUGACCACAUUUAUGCAAUCAAUACAACUUUCAACAACGGAUCUCUUGGCUCUC